rnacentral:rRNA from 1 species
UACGGAGGGUGCGAGCGUUGUCCGGAAUCACUGGGCGUAAAGCGCGUGUAGGCGGCCUUGUAAGUCCGUUCUGAAAGCCCGGGGCUCAACCCCGGGAGGCGGAUGGAUACUGCAAGGCUCGAGUACGGAAGAGGCGAGUGGAAUUCCCGGUGUAGCGGUGAAAUGCGCAGAUAUCGGGAGGAACACCAAUGGCGAAGGCAGCUCGCUGGGACGUUACUGACGCUGAGACGCGAAAGCGUGGGGAGCAAACAGG